UGAAGAGGAGCUUGCUCCUUGGAUCAGUGGCGAACGGGUGAGUAACACGUGAGCAAUCUGCCCUUGACUCUGGGAUAACUGCGGGAAACUGUAGCUAAUACCGGAUAUUACCUUGGAAGGCAUCUUCUGGGGUGGAAAGAAUUUUGGUCAAGGAUGAGCUCGCGGCCUAUCAGCUAGUUGGUGAGGUAAUGGCUCACCAAGGCGACGACGGGUAGCCGGCCUGAGAGGGUGACCGGCCACACUGGGACUGAGACACGGCCCAGACUCCUACGGGAGGCAGCAGUGGGGAAUAUUGCACAAUGGGCGCAAGCCUGAUGCAGCAACGCCGCGUGAGGGACGACGGCCUUCGGGUUGUAAACCUCUUUUAGUAGGGAAGAAGCGACUGGGUUUUCCUGGGAGUGACGGUACCUGCAGAAAAAGCACCGGCUAACUACGUGCCAGCAGCCGCGGUAAUACGUAGGGUGCAAGCGUUGUCCGGAAUUAUUGGGCGUAAAGAGCUCGUAGGCGGUUUGUCGCGUCUGCUGUGAAAACCCGAGGCUCAACCUCGGGCCUGCAGUGGGUACGGGCAGACUAGAGUGCGGUAGGGGAGAUUGGAAUUCCUGGUGUAGCGGUGGAAUGCGCAGAUAUCAGGAGGAACACCAAUGGCGAAGGCAGAUCUCUGGGCCGUAACUGACGCUGAGGAGCGAAAGCAUGGGGAGCGAACAGGAUUAGAUACCCUGGUAGUCCAUGCCGUAAACGUUGGGAACUAGAUGUGGGGACCAUUCCACGGUCUCCGUGUCGCAGCUAACGCAUUAAGUUCCCCGCCUGGGGAGUACGGCCGCAAGGCUAAAACUCAAAGGAAUUGACGGGGGCCCGCACAAGCGGCGGAGCAUGCGGAUUAAUUCGAUGCAACGCGAAGAACCUUACCAAGGCUUGACAUAUACCGGUAACGCCUGGAAACAGGUGCCCCGCAAGGUCGGUAUACAGGUGGUGCAUGGUUGUCGUCAGCUCGUGUCGUGAGAUGUUGGGUUAAGUCCCGCAACGAGCGCAACCCUCGUCCUAUGUUGCCAGCACGUAAUGGUGGGAACUCAUGGGAUACUGCCGGGGUCAACUCGGAGGAAGGUGGGGAUGACGUCAAAUCAUCAUGCCCCUUAUGUCUUGGGCUUCACGCAUGCUACAAUGGCCGGUACAAAGGGCUGCGAUACCGCAAGGUGGAGCGAAUCCCAAAAAGCCGGUCUCAGUUCGGAUUGAGGUCUGCAACUCGACCUCAUGAAGUCGGAGUCGCUAGUAAUCGCAGAUCAGCAACGCUGCGGUGAAUACGUUCCCGGGCCUUGUACACACCGCCCGUCAAGUCAUGAAAGUCGGUAACACCCGAAGCCAGUGGCCGAACCCGUAAGGGACGGAG
rnacentral:rRNA from 1 species